GACGUAGGGCGCGAGCGUUGUCCGGAUUUAUUGGGCGUAAAGGGCUCGUAGGCGGCUUGUUGCGUCUGCCGUGAAAGGCCUCGGCUUAACCGGGGUUUUGCGGUGGAUACGGGCAGGCUUGAGGCAAUUAGGGGAGAUCGGAAUUCUACGUGUAGCGGUGAAAUGCGCAGAUAUGUGGAGGAACACCGGUGGCGAAGGCGGAUCUCUGGGAUUGUUCUGACGCUGAGGAGCGAAAGCGUGGGGAGCGAACAGGAUUAGAUACCCGCGUAGUCC
rnacentral:rRNA from 1 species